rnacentral:rRNA from 1 species
CACGGAGUUAGCCGAUGCUUUUUCUUCGGAUACACGCAGUCCGGGACACGUCCCGGGUUUUGUUCUCCGACAAAAGAGGUUUACAACCCAUAGAGCCGUCUUCCCUCACGCGGCUUGGCUGGUUCAGGAUCUCUCCCAUUGACCAAUAUUCCUCACUGCUGCCUCCCGUAGGAGUCUGGUCCGUGUCUCAGUACCAGUGUGGGGGACCUUCCUCUCAGAACCCCUACGCAUCGUCGCCACGGUGGCCGUUACCCCGCCGUCAAGCUAAUGCGCCGCAUGCCCAUCCUCUUCCGAUGAAUCUUUCCUCGAUCUCGGAUGCCCGAAACCGAUAUACGCGGGAUUAGCCUCCCUUUCGGAAGGUUGUCCCCCUGAAGAGGGCAGGCUGCAUACGUGUUACUCACCCGUGCGCCGGUCGCCGGCAAGGAAGCAAGCUUCCCUCCCGAUCGCCCCUCGACUUGCAUGUGUUAAGCCUGCCGCUAGCGUUCAUCCUGAGCCAGGAUCGAAACUCU